rnacentral:rRNA from 1 species
CCAGACUCCUACGGGAGGCAGCAGUAGGGAAUCUUUCACGAUGGGCGAAAGCCUGAUGGAGCAACGCCGCGUGCAGGAUGAAGGCCUUCGGGUUGUAAACUGCUUUUAUAAGCGAGAAAUAUGAUGGUAACUUAUGAAUAAGGAUCGGCUAACUACGUGCCAGCAGCCGCGGUCAUACGUAGGAUCCGAGCAUUAUCCGGAUUUACUGGGUGUAAAGGGAGCGUAGACGGCAGUGCAAGUCCGGAGUGAAAGCCCGGGGCUCAGCCCUGGGACGGCUCUGGAAACGGUAAAGCUGGAGUGCGGGGGGGGAAGGCGGAAUUCCUGGUGUAGCGGUGAAAUGCGUAGAUAUCAGGAGGAACACCGGCGGCGAAGGCGGCCUGCUGGACCGUAACUGACGUUGAGGCUCGAAAGCGUGGGGAGCAAACAGGAUUAGAUCCCCCGGUAC